GGGGUCAGAUGCUGAGAUUUGGGGUCAGAUGCUGAGAUUUGGGGCCGAUUGGGCUGAAUUUGGGGUCAGGUGCUGAGAUUUGGGGUCAGUUUGUGAGAGUUUGGGGUCAGAUGCUGAGAUUUGGGGUCAGAUGCUGAGAUUUGGGGCCGAUUGGGCUGAAUUUGGGGUCAGGUGCUGAGAUUUGGGGUCGGUUUGUGAGAGUUUGGGGUCAGGGCUGGAGAUUUAGGGUCAUUUCAUGAGAGUUUGGGGUCAGAUGCUGAGAUUUGGGGCUGAUUGGGCUGAAUUUGGGGUCAGUUCAUGAGAGUUUGGGGUCAGAUGCUGAGAUUUGGGGUCAGAUGCUGAGAUUUGGGGUCAUUUCAUGAGAGUUCGGGGUCAGAUGCUGAGAUUUGGGGUCAGAUGCUGAGAUUUGGGGCCGAUUGGGCUGAAUUUGGGGUCGGGUGCUGAGAUUUGGGGUCAUUUUGUGAGGGUUUGGGGUCAGAUGCUGAGAUUUGGGGUCAGAUGCUGAGAUUUGGGGUCCGUUUGUGAGAGUUUGGGGUCAGGUGCUGAGAUGUGGGGUCAGGUGCUGAGAUGUGGGGUGAAUUCAGUGGGAUUUGGGGUCAUUUCCUGAGGUUUUGGGGUCAGGUGCUGAGAUUUGGGGCUGGAUUGGGCUGAAUUUGGGGUCAGGUGCUGAGGUUUGGGGUCAGUUCAUGAGAGUUUGGGGUCA
rnacentral:lncRNA from 1 species